rnacentral:lncRNA from 1 species
UCAUCUUCCAAUUGACCUGCAGUUAUGUUAUUAAUAUGUUUACGUUCUGAAGUUAAUAUAAAUGAGAUGGAUGAAUACAGAUUACUAAUAUGCAUAUCAGGUUAAUAAACCUUUAUGUUUUUUAAAAUAUGUGUACUUUGUUCAGUAAUUUGAAAUUAGGCAGGAGUCAGUGUAAGUAUUAUUAUCUUCUUAAACUCAUUGAUUAGGAUAGUAACAGAGAUAAACAGUUCAUGUCCACUGUGACAACUAGCGUAAGCUAACAUUUAUAUUUAUUUAUACUGGAAUAUGUAUUUCAGCUUCCAUUUCACUUUGUUAUUUAUUUGACAAGGAGAAGUUUGUAUAUGACUGUUAGAAUAAUUUUUCUAAUGUUCCAGAAUCUCUCAGUAAUUUUAAGGGGCCUCUAAUGGCAUUCUAAGUAGAAUUGAUUAUCCAUUACUUCCAGAACUUGGUGGGCAUAUGUGAGUAACAAAUACUAAUAAUUUUAAAUUAAAGAUUAUAAUUAAGGCUGAAAAUGUCCAAAGUCCUUCAUCAGUAGUCAACGUCUGCGAUACUGAUCAAGAUGAAGUUGAAUUAUACCGGAGAGGUGUUUACCUAGAAGUUGGUUAGAUCAACUUCAUCAAGUGUAAUUUUGAUUAAA